rnacentral:rRNA from 1 species
UACGUAGGGUGCGAGCGUUGUCCGGAAUUAUUGGGCGUAAAGAGCUCGUAGGCGGUCUGUCGCGUCGAUCGUGAAAACUUGGGGCUUAACCCUGAGCUUGCGGUCGAUACGGGCAUGACUGGAGUUCGGCAGGGGAGACUGGAAUUCCUGGUGUAGCGGUGAAAUGCGCAGAUAUCAGGAGGAACACCGGUGGCGGAGGCGGGUCUCUGGGCCGAUACUGACGCUGAGGAGCGAAAGCGUGGGGAGCGAACAGG